rnacentral:lncRNA from 1 species
UGGAAAUAUAGAUGGGGAUAAAGCUCAGUGUGAAGGCCCUGGGUUCAAUCCCCAGUACUGAAAAAGAAAAAUGAGACAACUAGACGUGAAACACUGCAUGCGAUGAUGCAAUAGAAAACACCAAGUACCUCCUAUGAAGUAGUCUUGGUCCCUCAAAUUGAUCUCAAGGCUAAUUGAGACAUUUAACCAACAGUUAAGUGGAAUUGCAAAUAAGAAAAACACCAAGAGGACAUAAUCAACUUCCAUGGGACAGAUAACCUAAUUUCUGCACCAGUUACAAUCAAGGAUGGGAACAGAUACUCAGGAGACUGAGGCAGGAGGAUUGAAAGAUUGAGGCCAGCUUGGGCAAUUUAGCAAGACUCUGCCAAAAAGAAAGAAGAAAGAAGAAAAGAAAGACAGAAAGAAAAUAAUACUCUCAUCAUCUCUCCCUCUCAUCUUACAUUAUAUUCUAACUUUCUUAAGAGUCAAUAUAAAAAGUCAUGGGGAGAGGUAGUAGACCGUUGUAUUUUCUGUGACAUGCCUACAUGAAUAUGUAGAAUUAUUUCAUAUGAGAGCUCCAGGAAAAGGUGGUCUCUCUGUGGUAGCUGGUCCCCAAACAUGCCUCCAACAAACCGUGCUUCCCACCGUUCAGGCCUUUGUCCCUUGCAUAGUCCCUCUCACAAUGAAUCCUGUUGGCCUGUGACUCGUGUUAACAAAUAGAAUGUGGCAAAAGUGACUCUUUAAGAAGUCUGACAGCUUCCACUUCUACUUUCAUAGAAUGCUCACUUUGGAGAGCUCUGAGCCCCUGUCAGCUGUCCAGUUAACCUGCUCAAGAGGCAACAAAAAGAGACUGCACAGACAGGGUCCAUGGAGAGGUGCAGAGCCAGCCAUGACUCAAGGGGUGGAGAAGGCCCUGCCCUCCCAGUACCCUAGCUGAGAAUCUUCCCAGCUACCUGCCAAGGUGCUAGAAUUAUGAAACAUCUGGAUCCUCUCCAACCUAAUUCAGCCCCAAGAUUAACUAGACAGCUGAG